GUUCAACGGCCGCGGUAUCCUAACCGUGCGAAGGUAGCGUAAUCACUUGUUCUUUAAAUGAGGACUAGUAUGAAUGGCACCACGAAGGUUAAACUGUCUCCUUUCUCUAAUCAGUGAAACUAAUCUCCCCGUGAAGAAGCGGGAAUAAUCCUAUAAGACGAGAAGACCCUAUGGAGCUUUAAACUUUCAGCAAUUAUCUCACCUUUUAUCAUAACUAACAAAAUUAAUCUUGAUAACCUGACUGCUGGUUUUCGGUUGGGGUGACCGCGGAGUACAACUUAACCUCCACGAUGAAUGGACCCGCUCCUAAACAGAGAGCUACAACUCCAUGUAUCAAAAAAUUGACACCAUUGAUCCAAUAACUUGAUCAACGAACCAAGUUACCCUAGGGAUAACAGCGCAAUCCAUCUCAAGAGUUCAUAUCGACAAAUGGGUUUACGACCUCGAUGUUGGAUCAGGGUAUCCCAGUGGUGCAGCCGCUACUAAUGGUUCGUUUGUUCAACGAUUAAAACCC
rnacentral:rRNA from 1 species